rnacentral:rRNA from 1 species
ACCGAACGCUGGCGGCAGGCUUAACACAUGCAUGUCGAAUGGGUGUAGCAAUACAUCAGUGGCAGACGGGUGAGUAACACGUGGGAACCUCCUAAGGAGUACGGAACAACCCAGCGAAACUUGAGCUAAUACCGUAUAUGUCCGUGCGGAGACAGAUUUAUCGCACUUAGAAGGGCCCGUGUCGGAUUAGGUAGUUGGGGAGGUGACGGCCUACCAAGCCUACGAUGCGUAGCUGAUGAUAGAGGAUGAUCAGCAACACUGAGACGGAGACACGGCCCAGACUCCUACGGGAGGCAGCAGUGGGGAAUCAUGGACAAUGGGAGCAAGCCUGUUCCAGCCAUGCCGCGAGAGUGAAGAAGUCCUUAGGGUUGGAAAGCUCUGUUACCAGGGACGAUAAUGACGGUACCUGGAGAAUAAGCCCCGGCAAACUUCGUGCCAGCCGCCGCCGUAA